rnacentral:rRNA from 1 species
AUUGAACGCUGGCGGCAUGCCUUACACAUGCAAGUCGAACGGCAGCACGGGUGCUUGCACCUGGUGGCGAGUGGCGAACGGGUGAGUAAUACAUCGGAACAUGUCCUGUAGUGGGGGAUAGCCCGGCGAAAGCCGGAUUAAUACCGCAUACGAUCUACGGAUGAAAGCGGGGGACCUUCGGGCCUCGCGCUAUAGGGUUGGCCGAUGGCUGAUUAGCUAGUUGGUGGGGUAAAGGCCUACCAAGGCGACGAUCAGUAGCUGGUCUGAGAGGACGACCAGCCACACUGGGACUGAGACACGGCCCAGACUCCUACGGGAGGCAGCAGUGGGGAAUUUUGGACAAUGGGCGAAAGCCUGAUCCAGCAAUGCCGCGUGUGUGAAGGAGGCCUUCGGGUUGUAAAGCACUUUUGUCCGGAAAGAAAUCCUUGGCUCUAAUACAGUCGGGGGAUGACGGUACCGGAAGAAUAAGCACCGGCUAACUACGUG